GGGGAGCCGUUGUUGAGGGUGCCGAGCUUGCCGUCGGCGUCCGGCCGGAAGACGUUGGGGUCCACGGGCUCGGAGGAUUUGAACCCGGGGGCAAGCAGCUUGACGUCCGUCUGUGUGCAGAUGCACUUGUUCUCCACCUCCACGGCGUACUCUGGGUUCCCUCCGGCGUUCUUUCCCGUGGCGGUCUAG
rnacentral:rRNA from 1 species